UCGGGAAAUUGCCUAGUACGGCGAGUGAAGCGGCAAAAGCUCAAAUUUGAAAUCUAGCACCUUCGGUGUUCGAGUUGUAAUUUGAAGAUGGUAACCUUGGGUUUGGCUCUUGUCUAUGUUCCUUGGAACAGGACGUCAUAGAGGGUGAGAAUCCCGUCUGAUGAGAUGCCCAUUCCUAUGUAAGGUGCUAUCGAAGAGUCGAGUUGUUUGGGAAUGCAGCUCUAAGUGGGUGGUAAAUUCCAUCUAAAGCUAAAUAUUGGCGAGAGACCGAUAGCGAACAAGUACAGUGAUGGAAAGAUGAAAAGAACUUUGAAAAGAGAGUGAAAAAGUACGUGAAAUUGUUGAAAGGGAAGGGCAUUAGAUCAGACUUGGUGUUUUACGAUUAUCUUCUCUUCUUGAGUUGUGCACUCGUAUUUCACUGGGCCAGCAUCGAUUCGGAUGGCAAGAUAAUGGCAGUUGAAUGUGGCUUCACUUCGGUGGAGUGUUAUAGCUUCUGCUGAUAUUGCCUGUCUGGAUCGAGGGCUGCGUCUUUUGACUAGGAUGCUGGCGUAAUGAUCUAAUGCCGCCCCGUCUAAAAACCCGGGGACC
rnacentral:rRNA from 1 species